rnacentral:rRNA from 1 species
UACGUAGGGUCCGAGCGUUGUCCGGAUUUAUUGGGCGUAAAGAGCUCGUAGGCGGUUCCGUAAGUCAGAUGUGAAAACUCAGGGCUCAACCCGGAGACGCCAUCUGAUACUGCGGUGACUGGAGUCUGGUAGGGGAACACGGAAUUCCUGGUGUAGCGGUGAAAUGCGCAGAUAUCCGGAGGAACACCAGUGGCGAAGGCGACUUCCUGGCCUGUUCUUGACGCUGAGGCGCGAAAGCUGGGGGAGCAAACGGG